AUUGAACGCUGGCGGCAUGCUUUACACAUGCAAGUCGAGCGGCAGCGCGGGGGCAACCCUGGCGGCGAGCGGCGAACGGGUGAGUAAUGCAUCGGAACGUAUCCUCGAGUGGGGGAUAACCCAGCGAAAGUUGGGCUAAUACCGCAUGAGCUCUGAGGAGGAAAGCGGGGGACCUGCGAGGGCCUCGCGCUGGAGUAGCGGCCGAUGUCCGAUUAGCUAGUUGGUGGGGUAAAGGCUUACCAAGGCGACGAUCGGUAGCUGGUCUGAGAGGAUGAUCAGCCACACUGGGACUGAGACACGGCCCAGACUCCUACGGGAGGCAGCAGUGGGGAAUUUUGGACAAUGGGGGCAAGCCUGAUCCAGCCAUGCCGCGUGAGUGAAGAAGGCCUUCGGGUUGUAAAGCUCUUUCGGACGGAACGAAAUGGGCGGGACUAAUACUCCUGUCUGAUGACGGUACCGAAAGAAGAAGCACCGGCUAACUACGUG
rnacentral:rRNA from 1 species